rnacentral:rRNA from 1 species
GGUGAACGCUGGCGGCGUGCUUAAGACAUGCAAGUCGAACAGCAGUCUUCGGACUGUAGUGGCGCACGGGUGAGUAACGCGUAACUGACCUACCCCAAAGUCGCGGAUAACGAUUCGAAAGAAUCGCUAAUACGUGAUGUGCUGUCAGAUUGUGUUCUGCCAGUAAAGAUUGAUUGCUUUGGGAUGGGGUUGCGUUCCAUCAGCUAGUUGGUGGGGUAAAGGCCCACCAAGGCGACGACGGAUAGCCGGCCUGAGAGGGUGGCCGGCCACAGGGGCACUGAGACACGGGUCCCACUCCUACGGGAGGCAGCAGUUAGGAAUCUUCUACAAUGGGCGAAAGCCUGAUGGAGCGACGCCGCGUGAGGGAUGAAGGUCUUCGGAUCGUAAACCUCUGAAUCAGGGACGAAAGACACUUCGGUGGGAUGACGGUACCUGAGUAAUAGCACCGGCUAACUCCGUGCCAGCCGCCGCAGUAAAAC